rnacentral:rRNA from 1 species
GACGAACGCUGGCGGCGUGCUUAACACAUGCAAGUCGAACGGAAAGGCCCUUCGGGGUACUCGAGUGGCGAACGGGUGAGUAACACGUGGGUGAUCUGCCCUGCACUUUGGGAUAAGCGUGGGAAACUGGGUCUAAUACCGAAUAUGAUCAUCGGCUUCAUGGUCGGUGGUGGAAAGCUUUUGCGGUGUGGGAUGGGCCCGCGGCUUAUCAGCUUGUUGGUGGGGUAAUGGCCUACCAAGGCGACGACGGGUAGCCGGCCUGAGAGGGUGACCGGCCACACUGGGACUGAGAUACGGCCCAGACGCGUACGUGAGGCAGCGGUGGGGAAUAUGGCACAAUGGGCGCAAGCCUGAGGCAGCGACGCCGCGUGAGGGAUGACGGCCUUCGGGUUGUAAACCUCUUUCAGCACAGACGAAGCGGAAGUGACGGUAUGUGCAGAAGAAGGACCGGCCAACUACGUG